CUAAGCAUAUUAAUAAGCGGAGGAAAAGAAACUAACAAGGAUUCCCCUAGUAACGGCGAGUGAAGCGGGAAGAGCUCAAGCUUAAAAUCUCCGUGCAAGUUUUGUGCGGCGAAUUGUAGUCUAUAGAGGCGUGGUCAGCGUGGGCGCUUGGGGCAAGUUCCUUGGAAGAGGACAGCAUGGAGGGUGAUACUCCCGUUCAUCCCUGAGUGGCUCGUGCGUACGACCCGUUUUCUUUGAGUCGCGUUGUUUGGGAAUGCAGCGCAAAGUAGGUGGUAAAUUCCAUCUAAAGCUAAAUAUUGGUGCGAGACCGAUAGCGAACAAGUACCGUGAGGGAAAGAUGAAAAGAACUUUGAAAAGAGAGUUAAAGAGUACCUGAAACUGCUGAAAGGGAACCGAAUCGUUUCCAGUGUCUAUAAUCCGUGACAUAUUUCAUUGGCGAGUGUGUGCGUGCGUGUGCUGUGGCAGUGGCUUUUUUGGCUGCGCUCGGUGUGUGUGCUGUGUGUGCUUGCUGGUGCCCUGUGCUGCGGUGGGACGUCAAGGUCAGUUCUUAUGCUGCGGGAAAUGGCUGCCGAGGAGGUAGGGCUUACGCUUGCGUUUGUCUGUUAUAUCUUGGUGGACGAGUAGUCGCGGUUGGGACUGAGGUGCCUACAACGUGCUUUUGAGUGGGUUUGUGUCUCCGUGUGCGCCGUGUGCGGAUAGCUUGCUAUGCGUGUGUGGUUGUGUGUGGAUUGAUGCGGGCUUUAACUUGUUGCCGUUCGGGACGUUGACGAAAUGGAGCGAUCCGACCCGUCUGAAACACGGACCAAGGAGUCUAACAUGUGUGCAAGUGUUAGGGUGUGGAAACCCCAGCGCGAAAUGAAAGUAAAGGGCAGCGCAAGUUGUCUGAGGUAGGAAAUGUUGCGGGCUUCGGUCUGCGGCGUGGCACUAUCGACCGAUCAUGAACCUUCGUGGUGAAAGAUUUGAGUUUGAGCACAUAUGUUGGUACCCGAAAGAUGGUGAACUAUGCCUGAGUAGGGUGAAGCCAGGGGAAACUCUGGUGGAAGCUCGUAGCGAUUCUGACGUGCAAAUCGAUCGUCAAACUUGGGUAUAGGGGCGAAAGACUAAUCGAACCAUCUAGUAGCUGGUUCCCUCCGAAAUUUCCCUCAGGAUAGCAGCAACUUAUUUACGAUAGUUUUAUGAGGUAAAGCGAAUGAUUAGAGGAUUCGGGGAAGAAACUUCCUCGACCUAUUCUCAAACUUUAAAUCUGUAAGACCUGCAGGUUUCUUAAUUGAACUUGUGGAUGUGAAUAUCAAGUUGCUAGUGGGCCAUACGGGGUAAGCUC
rnacentral:rRNA from 2 species